GAACGACGAAUCGAUCGGAGAAGAAGAGCAAUCUCGGAAUCCCGCGAAAACUUGAUCGGCGUAUUGGUCACGGGGACUACAAUGGCGAAGAUUGAACCCAUUGAUGAGGACGAGUCAGAGGACAAGAAGAAGACGAAGAUGAAAAACCGAAACCAUGGAUCCACGAACUUCUUCGUGUUCGUUGAUUAUCUUUUCCUCUUUAUAUUUUUCUGCUUUCUUUGUUAUAUCAUCUUCAAGGUAUUGGGUGUUUGAACGAACCUUCAUCGAUUUGGUUUUUGGUCAUGGUGAUCGUUUUUUCCAAUUCGCUAUGGAUAGACAGAAACUUCAAUUCCAAUAGACUUUUCCAAGACAUCUCUUUGUCCAUUAUCAUCGCAUUGUUUUAGAAGUUUCCAAAUUUGAUUUGUUAAUACAUCGUAGUUGUCGUUGGUUUUGUUAAUGCUAAAUGCUAAUGCUGAGAUUACUUUGAAACUUUGAGAUUUUACAUAUCUUGACAAAAUUUCAGACUUUGUAAAGAGAGUUUCUCUUUUGACUCAAUCAUGGCAAUAAUGAUUCAAUUGAAGAGUUUCUACAUAUUUCUACUCUUUUGUGACUCAAUACAUUUGCAGCAAUGUGAGUCAUUACAUUUUAUUUGGAAAUAUUAUUUUUAGAUAGUAUGUAAGCAAAAGCUCUGGAAUUUAUUCAAUAUCCUCUUAAGUAUAUAUAGAGAGAGAUCAUGAAGAUAUAUGACUAUGAUGAAAUGACUAGUAUACUUGUUAUGUGAACCAGAAUUGAAUACCCUUCUGCAUCUAGCAAAAGCUUAUUUGUUGACAGGUCAUGGUUGUGGCACUGGUGGAACUUCAUCUUCUCCUGAACUCGGACUGCGGGCUUUAUUACUAGGAGUUCCAUUUGAAGUGGCUGGGGCAACAGCAAGGGGAUCUUUGUAAGGAAGGAAUGGCAGCUUAGGUGUGGGAGGUAGCAAGAACCUUCCAAAACCAGGAAUGAGACUAGAUGGUUGAGGCACCAUGUUUACAGGAAAGUCUGAAUGUUUGCUCUCACUGGGAGUGGGGGAAAUGGGAAUGUAACGCAUUCCGGUUACUUCCUCUGUACAUCCAAGAAUCAGGCUUACCAGAACAAUUGUGGCUGUCAGAUUUUGCAGAGUAUAAGCCAUUGUUGUGUUAGUUGAGGAUAAAAGGUAAGAGCUUGAAUGUGUGGUUUGUGGAGGGAAGAUGGAAGAGAUAGUGUGUGUAAUAUAUAGAGUAGAGUGAAAUAGUUAAAGCUAAUUAUGGGUACAUUAAACGAACAUAAACAAAGUGCUUUAUUUACUAAAGAGAGAGAGCCUACAAAGUCUGGUAGCAUCUAUGGUAUUGGCGGUGAAUUAUUGCAUGAUGAUCAGUCAUAACAUUUGCCACACAUGUCUAAUUAGUAAUUUUGGUUGUGAUGGGCUUUUGUGCAACGAGGUUUAUUUGGCUUCACAUACAAGUAACAGAAAAACCGAUGAAGAAGAAGUCAGCGAGAGACGACGGCUUCCACUUUGAAAGAGUUUGAUUUCUUUUACUUUCUCUUUAUUCUUUACGAAGUUGGUAAAACAUAUUUGACCAUUUCUUGAGUUUUCUUCUCCGAUCAAUCUUUUGAUAAUGUUUUAAUAAUUACAUUUACGUGACUAGCGGCAUAUUCUACAGUUGUCUGAUAGAAAUUUGUAAGAAAUCCAUAAAAGUCAAAGAGUGUUUCCGUACUUUUAUUAUCCCCAUGUCGUCGUACUAUUUGAAUGUGUCAAACUUCUAUAGUAGAUAUUUAGUUUAACUUGGAUUACAACAUUGCCGACUGAUCCUGUCACACAUGUCCUUUUAUGUUAAUGAUUCUUUUAAACCAUAUGAAUUAUAAUAUGUAAACAAAAAAGUCAUUGACCCAGUUU
rnacentral:lncRNA from 1 species